rnacentral:tRNA from 1 species
GAUGGGGUGGCUGAAGUUAAUAGGCUAAAAAUUGUAAAUUUUUAUAUGGUUAGGUUAACCUCUCAUCA